AAGUCGUAACAAGGUUUCCGUAGGUGAACCUGCGGAAGGAUCAUUAGAAAGUCUGGCGGUAAACGCCCUACCUUCAAACCACUGCGAAACCACCCGUUGCUUCGGCGGCUGUUCCCCUCCGGCGUCACAGCCGGCUGGGGGGCGUCAGCCCGCCAGAGGCCCAAAACCAAACCAUUUGUAACUGUCUGUCUGAAUCAUAAAUAAAUCAAAUUUAUUAAAA
rnacentral:misc_RNA from 1 species